rnacentral:rRNA from 1 species
GACGAACGCUGGCGGCGUGCUUAACACAUGCAAGUCGAACGGUGAAGCGCCUUCCUUUUUGGUGGGUGUGGAUGAGUGGCGAACGGGCGAGUAACACGUGAGUAACCUGCCCCCUUCUUCUGGAUAACCGCAUGAAAGUGUGGCUAAUACGGGAUAUUCUGGGUCUGUCGCAUGAUGGGUCUGGGAAAGAUAUUGUUUCGGUGGGGGAUGGGCUCGCGGCCUAUCAGCUUGUUGGUGGGGUGAUGGCCUACCAAGGCGGUGACGGGUAGCCGGCCUGAGAGGGUGGACGGUCACACUGGGACUGAGGCACGGCCCAGACUCCUACGGGAGGCAGCAGUGGAGAAUAUUGCACAAUGGGCGCAAGCCUGAUGCAGCGACGCCGCGUGAGGGAUGGAGGCCUGCGGGUUGUGAACCUCUUUCGCCAGUGAAGCAGGCCUGCCUCGUUUGUGGGUGGGUUGACGGUAGCUGGAGAAGAAGCGCCGGCUAACUACGUG